CGGUAUGUGGCCCCCUCUGGCUAGUCCCGUCUAGCGCGCCCAUUUCGAGCCCAAGGUUCCAGCUCAGGUUUCCGGGCUCAGAAUUUUCCAGGAGUGGGUUCUUGGGCAGUGGCUGUGGGAGCAGGAAUGGCGCAGCUAGAGGGUUACUAUUUCUCGGCCGCCUUGAGCUGUACGUUUUUAGUGUCCUGCCUCCUCUUCUCCGCCUUCAGCCGGGCGCUGCGAGAGCCCUACAUGGACGAGAUCUUCCACUUGCCUCAGGCGCAGCGCUACUGUGAGGGCCAUUUCUCCCUUUCCCAGUGGGAUCCCAUGAUUACUACAUUACCUGGCUUGUACCUGGUGUCAGUUGGAGUGGUCAAACCUGCCAUUUGGAUCUUUGGAUGGUCUGAACAUGUUGUCUGCUCCAUUGGGAUGCUCAGAUUUGUUAAUCUUCUCUUCAGUGUUGGCAACUUCUAUUUACUAUAUUUGCUUUUCUGCAAGGUACAACCCAGAAACAAGGAAUAAAGAAGCCUAUGUUCAUGAGAAUGCUGAUUCUUAAAGGGCUAGAGAGGCCAGUUGAAGAAGGCCAAUCUGUAGAGAUGCCUGGGAAUUCUUUGAUCUUUUUGGAUGCUAAAAGAAGUAAAAUUCUGCUAUGGAAAUUGUCCUAUUAUAUUUCUGCUUUCAAGAAGGGGCUACAAGAUUAUGAGGUUUUGCAACGUUGCCCUCCUAGUCCUGUGUACAUUGCUGUAAAGACUCCCAGGCAUGGAAGCCAUCACUGGCACUGUUCCUCUUAGCAGUUAUUUGGGUGUGAAAUUCCUCACUCCUGCAAGGCUCAGCCUGGAGCAGCAUGUCUACAUGACCCACCUGCAGAAUCUCCCCACUUGUCAGUAACAGCUGUGAAAUCUGCCCCUGUUGUCUUUAGCCUUGCAUCCCAGGGAUGAAGCCCACUUGAUCAUGGACCUCUUCAAGGAGAACUACAAACCACUGCUCAAUGAAAUAAAAGAGGAUACAAACAAAUGGAAGAACAUUCCAUGCUCAUGGGUUGGAAGAAUCAAUAUCGUGAAAAGGCCAUACUGCCCAAGGUAAUUUAUAGAUUCAAUGCCAUCCCCAUCAAGCUACCAAUGACAUUCUUCACAGAAUUGGAAAAAACUACUUUAAAGUUCUUAUGGAACUAAAAAAGAUCCCACAUCACCAAGUCAAUCUUAACCCAAAGGAACAAAGCUGGAGGCAUCAUGCUACCUGAUUUCAAACUAUACUACAAGGCUACAGUAACCAAAACAACAUGGUACUGGUACCAAAACAGAGAUAUAGAUCAAUGGAACAGAACAGAGCCCUCAGAAAUAAUUGGUAAAUACUUUAGAAAAAACUGUCAUUAUUUACUGAAGCUGCAUAUGUACAUGAUCCAUUGAUUCCAUCCUGAGGUAUAUAUCCAACAGAAAUUUUAGAUAUAUUCACCAAAAUGCAUGAACACAAAAGCUCAUAGCAGCAUUGUAUGUUAUUACUGCAAACUGGAAACUACUCUAAUGCCCACACACAUUUGAAUGGGUUAAUUAAUUAUUGUUUGCCUACAUAGUAUAAUACUGCACAGCAAUGAGACUCCCAACACACAAAAAUGUGCAUAAAUAUUCACAAGGAUGAUAAUGAGUGAAAGAAGACAGACCUAAUAGAUAAUUUUACUUAUAUAAAGUAUCAAAGCAAUUGAAAAUAGUCUAUGCUGUUAAAAGUCAGUAUAAUUGGUGGAAGCAGUAAUAGAAGCAGGAGUCUUUUGGGGCUACUAGUAAUAUUCGUUUCCUUGAUCUGGGUGUUAGUUUUUGAAAAUUAAGUGAGUUUAUGUAUACUUCAGAGUAAACUUAAGAUAUGGGCUCUUAGGGGCAUGCAUAUUAUACUUCAGAAUUAUUGAAAGUUCUGUAAAUUUUGCCUCUUCAAUAGUUCUCAUCUUUGUUACCUCUUAACACUCCAGUGUACACGUUUAUCUCAGACCCUUAUUACUUUAAACUAAACAACUGUUAUUUUUCCACACUUUUCUCCCUUUCAAUUACUUCUAAUUGCAAUUGACAGAUUGGUUUUCGUAAGCAGAGCCUCAAUCAUGCAACUCCUUAUUGGUUAUGAAAUUAAGUUAAAAUUUUUAAUAUGGCUUUAGAGGCCUCCAUACUUUACUUCCAAGAAAUAUUCUCACCCAAUCUUGCCUUAAACUGAACAAAAGUACAGUUCAUUAUUAGUCUAAACAUGACUUUGUCUACUUCUAGUCUUACGCUACUCUUCUUUGAAGAGUUUCUACCACUCUGUUGAAAUUGUACUUCCUUCCAGUCCCAAUUCAAAUGUCCCAGUCUCCAUCAGACUGUCCUGGGCCACUGUCUCCCACUCUGUUUCAGAAUAUGGUCUCUCCCUUUUUUAAGAGUUGCUUUACAGUUAUUGCAUGCCUCCUUUUUAUGGAUUGCAUUAUCUUCUGCCAUAUGUACAAUGUACUAUAUAUUUUAUCCUAUCCUCUCUUUUCCGAUUCUAACCUUCAAUGGGAGAAAUUUUGUUUAACUGUUUUUUUCAUCACCUGCCUUACUUAAUUUUGCACAUCAUGAGUGAUCAGUAAACAUUUUAAAGCCUCAUGGAAUCAGAAUAACCUGAAAACUGUUUGCUGCUUUAAACUUUUAAAUUAAGUUCUCCUGACACCUUAUAAUUAUAGUAUCUGCUACUUUAUGCUUAACAACCUUGUGAUUAUCUCUGACCAAAUGAUUGAAUUUAACUGUGUAUUCUGCCAUAUAUAAAAUGUGUUCCUUUCCACUUUUACACUGUUGAAGGAACUGUAAACUAAUUCAACCAUUGUGGAAGACAGUGUGGCGAUUCCUCAAGGAUCUAGAACUAGAAAUACCAUUUGACCCAGCCAUCCCAUUACUGGGUAUAUACCCAAAGGAUUAUAAAUCAUGCUGCUAUAAAGACACAUGCACACGUAUGUUUAUUGAGGCACUAUUCACAAUAGCAAAGACUUGGAACCAGCCCAAAUGUCCAUCAGUGACAGACUGGAUAAAGAAAAUGUGGCAGGCUGGGCGCGGUGGCUCACGCUUGUAAUCCCAGCACUUUGGGAGGCCGAGAUGGGUGGAUCACGAGGUCAGGAGAUUGAGACCACAGUGAAACCCCGUCUCUACUAAAAAUACAAAAAAAUUAGCCAGGCGUGGUGGCGGGCGCCUGUAGUCCCAGCUACUAGGAGAGGCUGAGGCAGGAGAAUGGCGUGAACCCGGGAGGCGGAGCUUGCAGUGAGCCUAGAUUGCGCCACUGCACUCCAGCCUCGGCCACAGAGCGAGACUCCGUCUCAAAAAAAAAAGAAAAUGUGGCACAUAUACACCAUGGAAUACUAUGCAGCCAUAAAAAAGGAUGAGUUCAUGUCCUUUGUAGGGACAUGGAUGAAGCUGGAAACCAUCAUUCUCAGGAAACCAUCACAAGGACAAAAAACCAA